GCAGCAAUUGGACGGCAGAAAUAUUAAAUUUACUGUGCCGUGUUUUUCUUCUGGAGAGCCAGGGAAGCCCCGCUAAAAAGACUAUUUGCGGCGAUGAUGUGUCGCCGCAAAUAGAGUCGUAGAAACAAACCACCUUAUUGGUCUUUGACGGCUGCAUUCACUAUAUUUGCGGCGAGUAAUGACCGCUGCAAAAUGUCAUCAUAAAAUUCUCUUUAUUUCGCCCCGUUUCUUUUCCUUCUCCCCCUUUUCUCUUUUCCCCCAGCUCGAGACUCCCUCUAUAUUCUCUAUGAGUUUGCUGCUGCCCUUCCCAAGCCGUGCCGUCGCCAUCUCGCCGAGGAGGAUCUGCAGAAAGAGAAGAUUUGAUCAACGUAUGGAAGCGGUGACGGAAGAGAACUAGCCGAAUCUUAUCUCAUGGAGUUGCAAAAAGUAAGCUAUAGUUGCUCGGUCAAGCAUUGAAGCAAAGUAUAAAGCUCUUGCCAAUAUAGCAGAUGAACUCCGAUGGCUUCAAUCAUUACUACAAGAACUUGGCUUUAGAGCCUCAACACCUCCCAUCUUAUGGUGUGACAAUGUAGGAGCAACAUAUUUAUCAGCAAAUCCUGUAUUCUAUAUUCGUACAAAGCAUGUAGAAAUUGACUUUUAUUUUGUUAGAGAUAUGGUGGCCAAGAAGCUUACUGAAGUUAAGUUUUUAUCAUCCAAAGAUCAACUAGCAGAUAUCUUUAUCAAGUCUAUGUCUUCAUCCAAGUUUGCAACACUUCGUUCCAAGCUCAAUGUAGUUUCCACUUCAUUUGACUUGUUGGGGGCGUGUUAAGGAUAAGGAUGCCAAAGAAGCCGAGUGAGAUUAGAAGAUCACUUCCAUCAGACUAAUUUGUUAUUUAGAGGAUUACUUUCAUUAGAUUUUGUUCUAUUAUCAAUCACUAUCUUAGAAU